rnacentral:rRNA from 1 species
AAAGCAUGGGUAGCGAACAGGAUUAGAUACCCUUGGUAGUCCAUGCCGUAAACGAUAAGUGUAAGGUGUUGAAGGGUUUCCGCCCUUCAGUGCGAAGCUAACGGCAUUAAGCACUCCGGCUUGGGGAGUACGACCGCAAAGGUUGAAACUCAAAAGGAAUUUGACGGGGGCCCGCACAAGCGGGUGGAGCAUGUGGUUUAAUUCGAAGCUACGCGAAGAACCUUACCAGGUCUUGACAUCUUGCGCUAACCUUAGAGAUAAGGCGUUCCCUUCGGGGACGCAAUGACAGGUGGUGCAUGGUCGUCGUCAGCUCGUGUCGUGAGAUGUUGGGUUAAGUCCCGCAACGAGCGCAACCCUUGUUACUAGUUGCCAGCAUUAAGUUGGGCACUCUAGUGAGACUGCCGGUGACAAACCGGAGGAAGGUGGGGACGACGUCAGAUCAUCAUGCCCCUUAUGACCUGGGCUACACACGUGCUACAAUGGACGGUACAACGAGUCGCAAGCUCGCGAGAGUAAGCUAAUCUCUUAAAGCCGUUCUCAGUUCGGACUGUAGGCUGCAACUCGCCUACACGAAGUCGGAAUCGCUAGUAAUCGCGGAUCAGCAUGCCGCGGUGAAUACGUUCCCGGGCCUUGUACACACCGCCCGUCACACCAUGGGAGUUUGUAACGCCCAAAGUCGGUGGCCUAACCAUUAUGGAGGGAGCCGCCUAAGGCGGGACAGAUGACUGGGGUGAAGUCGUAACAAGGUAGCCGUAGGAGAACCUGUGGCUGGAUCACCUCCUU